CAGCCGCCGCGGUAACACGAACCGUGCGAACGUUAUUCGGAAUCACUGGGCUUAAAGCGCGUGUAGGCGGGAGGGCACGUCCGUCGCUGAAAUCCCCCGGCUCAACCGGGGAAUGGGCGCGGAUACGACUCUUCUGGAAGAACGUAGGGGGACCUGGAACUUCCGGUGGAGCGGUGAAAUGCGUUGAGAUCGGAAGGAGCGCCCGUGGCGAAAGCGAGGUCCUGGACGUUUACUGACGCUGAGACGCGAAAGCCAGGGGAGCGAACGGGAUUAGAUACCCCCGUAGUCCCUGUCUCUUAUA
rnacentral:rRNA from 1 species